rnacentral:rRNA from 1 species
UACGUAGGUGGCAAGCGUUGUCCGGAUUUACUGGGCGUAAAGAGCGCGCAGGCGGUCGUUCAAGUCGCGUGUGAAAGCCCCCGGCUCAACUGGGGAGGGUCACGCGAUACUGAUCGACUCGAAGGCAGGAGAGGGUAGUGGAAUUCCCGGUGUAGUGGUGAAAUGCGUAGAUAUCGGGAGGAACACCAGUGGCGAAGGCGACUACCUGGCCCGAAACUGACGCUCAUGCACGACAGCGUGGGGAUCAAACAGG